rnacentral:rRNA from 1 species
AGGACGAACGCUGGCGGCGUGCUUAACACAUGCAAGUCGAACGGUGAACCUCUCUUCGGGAGGGAAUCAGUGGCGAACGGGUGAGUAACACGUGAGCAACCUGCCCCUGGCUCUGGGAUAACCCCGGGAAACCGGAGCUAAUACCGGAUACGAGACCGAUUGGCAUCACUACGGUCUGGAAAGUUUUUCGGACCAGGGAUGGGCUCGCGGCCUAUCAGCUUGUUGGUGGGUAACGGCCCACCAAGGCGACGACGGGUAGCCGGCCUGAGAGGGCGACCGGCCACGACGUGGGACUGGAGACACGGCCCAGACUCCGUACGGAGGCCAGCCAGGUCGGGGAAUACGUUGCGCGAAUGGGCGAAAGCCUGACGCAGCGACGCCGCGUGAGGGAUGGAAGGCCUUCGGUUGUAAACCUCGUUUCAGGCAGGAAGAAGCGAAAGUGACGGUACCUGACAGAAGAAGCACCGGCAACUACGAGACCCAGCGACGCGACGUA